CCUACGGGAGGCAGCAGUGAGGAAUAUUGGUCAAUGGCCGGAAGGCUGAACCAGCCAAGCCGCGUGAAGGACGCAGGUGCCAAGCCUUGUACACUUCUUUUGUCAAGGGACAAAAUCAGGCUCGAGGGCCUGACCGAGGGUACUUGAAGAAAAAGCAUCGGCUAACUCCGUGCCAGCAGCCGCGGUAAUACGGAGGAUGCGAGCGUUAUCCGGAUUUAUGGGGUUUACGGGGUGCGUAGGCGGACUGUUAAGUCAGCGGUAAAAGCCCGGGGCACAACCCCGGCGAGCCGUUGAUACUGGCUGUCAUGAGAUGUCGAGAUGUAUGCGGAAUGCGCAGUGUAGCGGUGAAAUGCUUAGAUAGUGCGCAGAACUCCGAUUGCGAAGGCAGCAUACCGGCGGCGAUCUGACGCUGAGGCACGAAAGCGUGGGUAUCGAACAGGAUUAGAUACCCCAGUAGUC
rnacentral:rRNA from 1 species